GGGCAUGUAGCUCAGCUGGAUAGAGCGUCAGAUUCCGGUUCUGAAUGUCGGGGGUUCGAAUCCCUCCAUGCUCG
rnacentral:tRNA from 1 species